AGUGAACGCUGGCGGCGUGCCUAAUACAUGCAAGUCGAACGGAGUGGCGCACGGGUGUGUAAUAUAUAUCUAAUCUGCCCCUUUCUGGAGGACUAAAGUUAGAAAUGACUGCUAAUACUCCAAAGAAAGGGCUGAGACUAUAUCGUAUCAGCUAGUCGGUGGGGUAACGGGCUACCGAGGCUAUGACGCGUAACUGGUCUGCGAGGAUGAUCAGUCACAUUGGAAGUGUGACACGGUGCAAAGUCCUACGGGAGGCGGCAGUAGGGGAUAUUGCGCAAGGGGGGGAACCGUGACGCAGCAACGCGGCGUGGAGGAUGACACGUUUCGGAGAGUAAGCUCCUGUUGUUAGGGUAACGGUACCUAACGAAUAAGCACCGGCUAACUCCGUGCCAGCAGCCGCGGUAAUAC
rnacentral:rRNA from 1 species